AGAGAGAGACAUGCGCGCAUAUCAAUAAGCGGAGGAAAAGAAACUAACAAGGAUUCCCCUAGUAACGGCGAGUGAAGCGGGAAGAGCUCAAAUUUGAAAUCUUAAAGGGUUUCCCUUUACGAAUUGUAGUUUAAAGAAGUGUUUUCUGUUGAGGUUUUGGUAAAAGUUCUUUGGAAUAGGACAUCAUAGAGGGUGAGAAUCCCGUAUUUGACCUUUACUUUCAACUUUGUGAUACACUUUCAAAGAGUCGGAUUGUUUGGGAAUGCAGUCCAAAAUGGGUGGUAAAUUUCAUCUAAAGCUAAAUAUUGGCGAGAGACCGAUAGCGAACAAGUACCGUGAGGGAAGGAUGAAAAGAACUUUGAAAAGAGAGUUAAACAGUACGUGAAAUUGUCAAAAGGGAAGCGUUUGACACCAGUGUUGUUUUUCUGAAAAUCAAUUAAAGAACUGUUUAUGCUAAGUUGUUUAGACUUUAUCAGCUAUCUGUUUAGUUUUGAGCUUUUCUUUAAUGCACUUUUCAGUUAACAAGUCAACAUCAAUUUCUUUUGCUGUAAAAAAGCUUGAGGAAGGUGGCUUGAGAUUCGUCUUAAGUGUUUAUAGCCUCUUGCCUAUGCAGUCGGAGAGAUUGAGGUCUGCAGCGUAGAUCCUUCGGGGCUAAAUGCAUUUGUGCUAAGUUAUAGCAUUUUAUAGACAACUUGUUGACUAUGAUUUGUCUUGUAGCUUACUCGCUUAUGUUAUUUUACCUACGCUUAGGAUGUUGAAGACUCUACAGAGAUA
rnacentral:rRNA from 1 species